UUCAAGGUCGUCCUUGCCUACAUAGUGAGU
rnacentral:piRNA from 1 species